AUUGAACGCUGGCGGCAGGCUUAACACAUGCAAGUCGAGCGCGCGGCGGGCGGGUGUGUAAUGUCUGGGACACUCCGUGGUAGAGGGGGAUCAACACUGGAAACGGUCGCUAAUACCGCAUCCCAUGAGAUGUGCCCAGAGGGGAUUAGCUAGUAGGGGGGGUAAUGGCUCACCUAGGCGACGAUCCCUAGCUGGUCUGAGAGGAUGACCAGCCACACUGGAACUGAGACACGGUCCAGACUCCGACGGGAGGCAGCAGUGGGGAAUAUUGCACAAUGGGCGCAAGCCUGAUGCAGCCAUGUCGCGUGUGUGAAGAAGGCCUUCGGGUUGUAAAGCACUUUCAGCGAGGAGGCGUUACUCGCAGAAGAAGCACCGGCUAACUCCGUGCCAGCAGCCGCGGUAAUAC
rnacentral:rRNA from 1 species